AAGAGCUAAACUGGGGUUUGCACCACCCACUGCCGCAGACAGCCCUUCCUCUGGACGCCAGCCCAUCUGCGGGGAAGAGGAAACAGGAACAUUUCCAACACCCUACCCCUGCAGAUCUUAGCUCCCUGACCAGGGAUUGAACCCGCACCCCCUGCAAUGGAAGCGCAGAGUCUUAACCACUGGACCACCAAGGAAGUCCCCACUCAAUUUUCUUUCAUUGAGAUUUAUUUUACAUAAACAACACAAAUUUUAAA